GACGAACGCUGGCGGCGUGCUUAACACAUGCAAGUCGAACGAAGUGGCGAACGGGUGAGUAACGCGUAAUCAACCUGCCCUUCAGAGGGGGAAAACAGUGGGAAACGACUGCUAAUACCGCAUACUGAAGGAGGGGAUUGCGUGGGAUUAGCUGGUUGGAGGGGUAAGGGCCCCCCAAGGCGAUGAUCAGUAGCCGGUCUGUGAUGAUGAACGGCCACCUUGGGACUUGGACACGGCCCAGACUCCUACGGGAGGCAGCAGUGGGGAAUCUUCCGCAAUGGACGAAAGUCUUACGGAGCAACGCCGCGUGAGUGAUGACGGCCUUCGGGUUUUAAAGCUCUUUUAAUCGGGACGCGGUACCGGAAUAGAAAGCCACGGCUAACUACGUGCCAGCAGCCGCGGUAAUUC
rnacentral:rRNA from 1 species